CCUGCUACUUUAUUUCCGCUGAUUGUCGCCGGACUCAUUUUUUCAGGUCCCGUUGAGAGAGAUAGAUAGAUAGAUAGAUAUAAUUUAUUAUGCCCGAGAAAAACUAAAGGGCAAAGAUUAACAAUACAAAAAAGAAAACAAAAUGUGCGUGCUCUCUACACAAAUCAGUUAAGAGUAGAGCACAACUUAACAGCUUAUCACAACAGUAUACACUGUAAAAAGACUAGAACUAACGCAGCUUAAAAAUAGGAACAAUGUAAGUAGAAUAAAACUAACUAAUACUAAUACUAAUACUAAGAAUAAGACGCUACACAACUUACAAGCUGAUAACAGGGAAAAACACCAUCAUAAGCCCCGUGCAAGCAAUUAAUAUCAUGCAACUUUACGUGCCAACAGAUAUGCCUUGAGAAGACCUUUGAAGGAGACAAUUGAGGAAGCAGAGGUGGUAGUUCUAUGGGAAGGAAUAUGAAAGGUUUGGGAUGCAACAAGGCGGCGGUCAGAUCUCCUCAACAGCGGAUCAAGCAAAGCAAAAUUGUCACGCAGAUACGAAGGAGAGCGCAUGUAAAGAUUGAGUUUAAGACCAUUUAACGUAGCAUAAUCAAAAAUAGCAUUCGCAUCCUUUGAAAUCAACUCGAGACCGUGAAGAAUGUCAGCGCGAGUACAUUGGAGAUAUAUUUGUACAUCAUCCGCGAAUAUCAUAUGAUAAACAAAAGACAGGAAUCCACCUAUAUCAUUGAUAUAAAGAGCAAAUAGAAGUGGGCCAAGUACAGAGCCCUGAGGGACGCUAGUCGACGUAAAAAGCCACUCAGAAAAUUUACCCUUAUCGUCGAAUACAGCUUGAGAGCGGCCAGUAAGACCGGACUGGAUCUUGAUACUCUGACACGCCACUCUGACACGCUUGGCUCUAGAACACCGUGACCGCCAGGGCACGAAGCCCUCGAAGCACGCGCUCCGCCUAACCGAGUAAGUAAGGAAACGAUGAAAGUAGUGGU